CUGAGUACGGCGGAACACGUGAAAUUCCGUCGGAAUCCGGGAGGACCAUCUCCCAAGGCUAAAUACUCCCUAGUGACCGAUAGUGAACCAGUACCGUGAGGGAAAGGUGAAAAGCACCCCGGAAGGGGAGUGAAACAGUUCCUGAAACCGUGUGCCUACAAGUAGUUAGAGCCCGUUAAUGGGUGAUAGCGUGCCUUUUGUAGAAUGAACCGGCGAGUUACGAUUUGUUGCAAGGUUAAGCGGAAAAAGCGGAGCCGUAGCGAAAGCGAGUCUGAAUAGGGCGCAUAAGUAACAGGUCGUAGACCCGAAACCAGGUGAUCUACCCAUGUCCAGGAUGAAGGUAAGGUAAUACUUACUGGAGGUCCGAACCCACGCACGUUGAAAAGUGCGGGGAUGAGGUGUGGGUAGCGGAGAAAUUCCAAUCGAACUUGGAGAUAGCUGGUUCUCUCCGAAAUAGCUUUAGGGCUAGCCUCGAGGUAAAGAGUCAUGGAGGUAGAGCACUGUUUGGACUAGGGGCCCUUCUCGGGUUACCGAAUUCAGAUAAACUCCGAAUGCCAUGUACUUAUACUCGGGAGUCAGACUGCGAGUGAUAAGAUCCGUAGUCGAAAGGGAAACAGCCCAGACCACCAGUUAAGGUCCCCAAAUAUAUGUUAAGUGGAAAAGGAUGUGGGGUUGCUUAGACAACCAGGAUGUUGGCUUAGAAGCAGCCACCAUUGAAAGAGUGCGUAAUAGCUCACUGGUCGAGUGACCCCGCGCCGAAAAUGUACCGGGGCUAAACAUAUUACCGAAACUGUGGAUGAACCUCUUUAGAGGUUCGUGGUAGGAGAGCGUUCUAAGGGCGGUGAAGUCAGACCGGAAGGACUGGUGGAGCGCUUAGAAGUGAGAAUGCCGGUAUGAGUAGCGAAAGAAGGGUGAGAAUCCCUUCCACCGAAUAUCUAAGGUUUCCUGAGGAAGGCUCGUCCGCUCAGGGUUAGUCGGGACCUAAGCCGAGGCCGAUAGGCGUAGGCGAUGGACAACAGGUAGAGAUUCCUGUACCAGUGCUAAUUGUUUAACCGAUGGGGUGACACAGAAGGAUAGGGAAUCGCACGAAUGGAAAUGUGCGUCCAAGCAGUGAGUGUGAGAAGUAGGCAAAUCCG
rnacentral:rRNA from 1 species